rnacentral:other from 1 species
GAUCCUCUGUAGUGUUCGAGGUGCUUUAAUAACCGCUCUUUGCCUUUGUAAAAUUCCGGGAGCUGAACCCGUCGUGGAAGAUGCUAGGCCGUAAAUCGGAAAGCAGAUGCUGCGGAGGAGGUUCCCACCUUAACAUAAAAAGGACUUGAGCCUUUGAGCAUACGGCACCGGCGGAGGAUCA